AUUGAACGCUGGCGGCAUGCCUUACACAUGCAAGUCGAACGGUAACAGGUCUUCGGAUGCUGACGAGUGGCGAACGGGUGAGUAAUACAUCGGAACGUGCCCGAUCGUGGGGGAUAACGGAGCGAAAGCUUUGCUAAUACCGCAUACGAUCUACGGAUGAAAGCAGGGGACCGCAAGGCCUUGCGCGGACGGAGCGGCCGAUGGCAGAUUAGGUAGUUGGUGGGAUAAAAGCUUACCGAGCCGACGAUCUGUAGCUGGUCUGAGAGGACGACCAGCCACACUGGGACUGAGACACGGCCCAGACUCCUACGGGAGGCAGCAGUGGGGAAUUUUGGACAAUGGGCGCAAGCCUGAUCCAGCCAUGCCGCGUGCAGGAUGAAGGCCUUCGGGUUGUAAACUGCUUUUGUACGGAACGAAAGACUCUUUCUAAUAAAGAGGGUCCAUGACGGUACCGUAAGAAUAAGCACCGGCUAACUACGUGCCAGCAGCCGAC
rnacentral:rRNA from 1 species